UACCGGAAGGUGCGGCUGGAUCACCUCCUUUCUAAGGAGCACCAUUUUUUCCCGGUGCCCCACGCCGUGGGGGUUAUCGCGUAGGGAUAUGUAGUGCCGGCGCCUGUAGUGGGUGUUCGGUGGGUGCGCAACAACAUUUUCCCUCGUUGGUGGGGGACAAGACCGCCAGGCACACUGUUGGGUCCUGAGGCAACACCCGGGUUUGUUUGGGUUGUUGUCGCCCUGCUUGGUGGUGGGGUGUGGUGUUUGAGUUGUGGAUAGUGGUUGCGAGCAUCUAGAGCGAAAAGCUGCUGAUUUUAGUGGUUUUUUGUCGAGUGUUUUGUGUGUGUAAGUGUGUUAGGGCGCAUGGUGGAUGCCUUGGCG
rnacentral:misc_RNA from 1 species